AAACGUGGGUCUAAUACCGGAUAGGACCAUGGUACUUCUACGGUUUGUGGUGGAAAGCUUUUGCGGUGUGGGAUGGGCCCGCGGCCUAUCAGCUUGUUGGUGGGGUAAUGGCCUACCAAGGCGACGACGGGUAGCCGGCCUGAGAGGGUGUCCGGCCACACUGGGACUGAGAUACGGCCCAGACUCCUACGGGAGGCAGCAGUGGGGAAUAUUGCACAAUGGGCGCAAGCCUGAUGCAGCGACGCCGCGUGAGGGAUGACGGCCUUCGGGUUGUAAACCUCUUUCAAUAGGGACGAAGCGCAAGUGACGGUACCUAUAGAAGAAGCACCGGCCAACUACGUG
rnacentral:rRNA from 1 species